UCCUGGCUCAGAUUGAACGCUGGCGGCAGGCUUAACACAUGCAAGUCGAACGAUGAAGUCUAGCUUGCUAGACGGAUUAGUGGCGAACGGGUGAGUAAUGCUUAGGUAAUCUGCCUAUUAGUGGGGGAGUAACGUAGGGAAACUUAACGCUAAUACCGCAUACGACUACGGGUGAAAGGGGGCUUUUAGCUCUCGCUAAUAGAUGAGCCUAAGUCGGAUUAGCUGGUUGGUGGGGUAAAGGCCUACCAAGGCGACGAUCUGUAGCUGGUCUGAGAGGAUGAUCAGCCACACUGGGACUGAGACACGGCCCAGACUCCUACGGGAGGCAGCAGUGGGGAAUAUUGGACAAUGGGCGAAAGCCUGAUCCAGCCAUGCCGCGUGUGUGAAGAAGGCCUUUUGGUUGUAAAGCACUUUAAGUGGGGAGGAAAAGCUUGUGGUUAAUACCCAUAAGCCCUGACGUUACCCACAGAAUAAGCACCGGCUAACUCUGUG
rnacentral:rRNA from 1 species